rnacentral:rRNA from 1 species
UACGGAGGGUGCAGGCGUUACUCGGAAUUACUGGGCGUAAAGCGCAUGUAGGCGGUCGCUUAAGUCCGAUGUGAAAUCCCUGGACUCAAUCCAGGAAGUGCAUUGGAUACUGAGAGACUGGAGUACAGGAGAGGUGAGCGGAAUUCCAGGUGUAGAGGUGAAAUUCGUAGAUAUCUGGAGGAACAACAGAGGCGAAGGCGGCUCACUGGACUGUAACUGACGCUGAGACGCGAAAGCGUGGGGAGCAAACAGG